GAGAGAGUAAGGGAGGGUCGUGUUUCAGUGCUCAGCUGUGCUCUCCUCUCACCUCCCACCCUGACACGCCACGGAUGCAUGCUAUUAUCAUUGAACUCUCAGCUAUUAUUAGAUGCCAUUUCUGUCCAUCUGAAGUUUUCCUCUCAUGCACUCCCUGUUUCCUUCAGCACACACAGCUGUCAGUCUUUGAGAUGGGAGCCAAAGGACUUAUCCAUUAAUACAGAAUCAAGCCCUGGGUGAGAGUCCUUCAUGGGUGCAAAAUGAGUGGCUCCGAUCCAAAGCAAGGCGACAAUACUCGGCUACUGUAGAAACAACACGGUGGACUUCACUGAAGACAACCUGCUCCAUAUGAAGAUACCAGCUGAUAGUAAGAUUGCUGCUGCCAUUACUGUGUCUUAAAAUCACAACGUGUCGCAGUGGUGUGGUGGUGUUGUUGCCUGUAGUGCUGCCCACUACAGGGCACCUGACAUACAUGCAUAGGCCUAAUAUGAAGUGUUGAAGGGGGAGGUUUCAAACCAUGCACCCUGAUAUACAAGAUUGCAGGAGGGGAACUGGUGGCACAGACACUGGAAAAAUACCAGCACAUCUUCACCCAUGACCUGCAUUUGUGACAUUCCUGCUGCAGUGAAGGACACCUAGGAGAGAGCUCGGGCCUGACAUGUUUCCUGUGUUUACAGAUGCUAUGUUUAGUAAGUCUGUUGACAAACACCUUGAAUAUAUGAAGAAAAUUCAGUUUUUUGAAGCUGCAAAACAUAUUAAAAUCCUGACAAAAUGA